rnacentral:rRNA from 1 species
AGUGAACGCUGGCGGUAGGCCUAACACAUGCAAGUCGAACGGCAGCACAGUAAGAGCUUGCUCUUACGGGUGGCGAGUGGCGGACGGGUGAGGAAUACAUCGGAAUCUACUUUUUCGUGGGGGAUAACGUAGGGAAACUUACGCUAAUACCGCAUACGACCUACGGGUGAAAGCAGGGGAUCUUCGGACCUUGCGCGAUUGAAUGAGCCGAUGUCGGAUUAGCUAGUUGGCGGGGUAAAGGCCCACCAAGGCGACGAUCCGUAGCUGGUCUGAGAGGAUGAUCAGCCACACUGGAACUGAGACACGGUCAAGACUCCUACGGGAGGCAGCAGUGGGGAAUAUUGGACAAUGGGCGCAAGCCUGAUCCAGCCAUACCGCGUGGGUGAAGAAGGCCUUCGGGUCGUAAAGACCUUUUGUUGGGAAAGAAAAGCAGCAGGUUAAUACCCCGCUGUUCUGACGGUACCCAAAGAAUAAGCACCGGCUAACUUCGUG